rnacentral:ribozyme from 1 species
CGGGCUCGUCUCUAUUGGACAGCCCCCACGGUGAACGUGAGGGCGGUGACCGCGAGAGCAGCGGCGGUCGCACUGGACAAGAGGUGGCCGCGGAAACGCUGGCGGCGACGAAAACUUUGAGCACGGG